UACGGGGGGGGUAAGCGUUGUUCGGAAUUACUGGGCGUAAAGGGUCUGUAGGUGGCUUGCUAAGUCAGACGUGAAAUCCCUCAGCUUAACUGGGGAACUGCGUCUGAGACUGGCGAGCUUGAGUGCAGGAGAGGAACGCGGAAUUCCAGGUGUAGCGGUGAAAUGCGUAGAUAUCUGGAGGAACACCCGUGGCGAAGGCGGCUCUCUGGGACGGUACUGACGCUGAGACGCGAAAGCGUGGGGAGCGAACAGG
rnacentral:rRNA from 1 species